UACAGAGGUCUCAAGCGUUGUUCGGAUUCAUUGGGCGUAAAGGGUGCGUAGGCGGCGCGGUAAGUCGGGUGUGAAAUCUCGGGGCUUAACUCCGAAACUGCAUUCGAUACUGCCGUGCUUGAGGACUGGAGAGGAGACUGGAAUUUACGGUGUAGCGGUGAAAUGCGUAGAUAUCGUAAGGAAGACCAGUGGCGAAGGCGGGUCUCUGGACAGUUCCUGACGCUGAGGCACGAGGGUCAGGGGAGCAAACGGG
rnacentral:rRNA from 1 species